rnacentral:misc_RNA from 1 species
GAAGGUUUGGAUACUCUGAAAAACAUGGCCCAUGACAUGAAUGAGGAGUUGGACAGGCAAGCGCCACUGAUGGAUGAAAUAGAUGAAAAGAUGGACAGGGCAACCUCAGACCUGAAAAGUACUAAUGUGAGACUUAAGGAUACUGUCAACCAGCUGAGAUCCAGUCGCAACUUUUGCAUUGACAUCAUCCUCCUCUGUAUAAUUUUGGGCAUCGCUGCUUAUCUAUACAAUGUGUUGAAGUGAAGUAUUCCGGCUGCCACUUCCAAGACCGCUAAUUUACUGGUAUGGACAGACUUCU